rnacentral:misc_RNA from 1 species
CCGAGUUCUCGGGCUUCGGCUCGAAUCUCCCACCCUUUGUGAACAUACCUCUGUUGCUUUGGCGGCUCUUGCCGCGUGGUGGCCCUCAAAAGCCCCCCCGCGCGCUUCCGCCAGAGGACCUUCAAACUCCAGUCAGUAAACGUCGACGUCUGAAAAACAAGUUAAUAAACUA